UACGUAGGCAGCAAGCGUUGUUCGGAGUUACUGGGCGUAAAGGGUGCGUAGGCGGCCUUAUAAGUAUGGUGUGAAAUCUCCCGGCUUAACUGGGAGGGUGCGCUAUAGACUGUGGGGCUAGAGUGUGGGAGAGGAAAGUGGAAUUCCUGGUGUAGCGGUGAAAUUCGUAGAUAUGGGGAAGAACACCGGUGGCGAAGGCGGCGACCUGGUCCAUGACUGACGCUGAGGCGCGAAAGCGUGGGGAGCAAACAGG
rnacentral:rRNA from 1 species